CGCCCAUGUCGUCUCCCACUCGUCUUGCUCCCACUUCACACCAAGGCCAUGCCUCGCCUCUCCUCCACCACGCCCAUGUCGCCACUCCGCCUCCGCGCCCGCCACUCCUCCUCCACCUCUCAUCCCUCACGCAUCUGGGAUCCCCACACCGCCUUCGCCACCGCCACGGAGCGUGCGCGUUCAGGCAACCUCACCCCGGAGGACGCACACCACCUGUUCGACGAAUUGCUGCGGCAGGCCAAUCCUGUCCAGGAGCGCCCCCUCAACAACCUUCUUGCCGCCCUCGCCCGUGCUCCGGCGUCCGCGGCGUGCAGCGAUGGCCCUGCACUCGCAGUCAACCUCUUCAGCCGCAUAUCCCAAGGCGCCCGCCGACGUGUGGCGCACCCAACGGCCUGCACCUACGGCAUCCUCAUGGACUGCUGCUGCCGCGCAAACCGCCAGGAUCUGGCGCUCGCCUUCUUCGCCCGUCUCCUCAGGACGGGACUCAAGGCAGGCGUCAUAGAAGUCAACACUCUUCUCAAGGGACUCUGCCGCGCAAAGCGGGCUGAUGAGGCUCUGGACAUUCUGCUUCACAGGAUGCCUGAGCUAGGCUGCACCCCCAACGUGGUGGCAUAUAACACGGUCAUCCAUGGCUUCUUUAGGGAAGGCCAAGUAGGCAAGGCGUGCAAUCUAUUCCAUGAAAUGAGGCAGCAGGGCGUUACACCUGAUGUUGUGACAUAUAACUCGGUUAUUGAUGCGUUGUGCAAGGCCAAAGCAAUGGACAAGGCAGAGUAUUUCCUUGGUCAGAUGGUUGAUGAUGGUGUCGUAUCUGAUAAUGUGACAUAUAAUAGCCUCAUCCAUGGAUAUUCCUCUUCAGGCCACUGGAAGGAGGCUGUUAGGGUAUUCAAAGAGAUGACAAGUCGGAGGGUUACACCAGAUUUGCAUACUUACAACAUGUUUAUGACCUUUCUUUGCAACCAUGGAAGAAGCAAAGAAGCUGCAGGAAUUUUUGAUUCCAUGGCUAUGAAGGGCCUGAAACCUGACAACGUUUCAUAUGCUAUUCGCCUUCAUGGGUAUGCCACCGAAGGAUGCUUAGUUGAUAUGAUUAAUCUCUUCAAUUCAAUGGAAAGAGACUGCAUUCUUCCUGACUGUCGUAUCUUCAGCAUACUGAUUUAUGCAUAUGCUAAAUCUGGGAAGCUUGAUAAGGCUAUGCUUAUCUUCAAUGAAAUGCAGAAACAAGGAGUGAGUCCAAAUGCAGUCACAUAUUCAACCGUAAUAGAUGCAUUUUGCAAAAAGGGUCAGUUGGACGAUGCUAUGAUAAAGUUUAAUCAGAUGAUUGAUACAGGAGUACGACAGGGCACAGCUGUUUAUCGUUCCCUAAUCCAGGGAUUUUGUACACACGGCGAUUUGGUGAAAGCAAAGGAAUUGCUUACUGAAAUGAUGAACAAAGGUAUACCUCCUCCUGAUAUUAAGUUCUUCCAUUCAAUCAUGCAGAACCUAUGCACAGAAGGAAGGGUAAUAGAAGCACGGGAUAUCCUUGGCUUGAUAGCACACAUAGGUAUGAGGCCUAAUGUUUGCACAUUUAAUAUACUGAUUGGUGGAUACUGCCUAGUCCGCAAGAUGGCAGAUGCAUCGAAAGUAUUUGAUGAUAUGGUGUCAUAUGGUUUAGAACCUUGUAACUUUACGUAUGGUAUACUUAUUAAUGGCUAUUGCAAAAAUAGAAGGAUUGAUGACGGGCUUAUUCUGUUCAAAGAGAUGCUGCACAAGGGACUUAAACCUACAACUGUUAAUUAUAACGUCAUACUGGAUGGAUUAUUUCUGGCUGGACAAACUGUUGCUGCAAAAGAGAAGUUUGAUGAGAUGGUUGAAUCUGGAGUAAGUGUGUGCAUUGAUACAUACUCUAUAGUUCUUGGUGGACUUUGUAGAAAUAGCUGCAGUAGCGAAGCGAUCACCCUGUUCCGAAAAUUAAGUGCAAUGAAUGUGAAAUUUGAUAUUAAAAUUGUCAAUAUCAUUAUUGGUGCAUUCUACAGGGUCAAGAGAAACCAAGAGGCUAAGGAUUUGUUUGCUGCUAUACCAGCCAAUGGCUUGGUUCCUAAUGCUGUUACCUACACCAUAAUGAUGACAAAUCUUAUAAAAGAAGGUUCAGUGGAAGAAGCCGACAAUCUUUUUUUAUCAAUGGAGAAGAGCGGCUCUACUGCAAACUCUUGGAUGUUAAAUCAUAUUAUCAGAAGGUUACUGGAAAGAGGAGAGAUAGUCAAGGCUGGAAAUUAUAUGUCUAAAGUUGAUGUAAAGAGCUACUCACUUGAAGCUAAAACUGUUUCACUGCUGAUCUCUCUGUUUUCAAGGGAAGGGGAAUAUAGAGACCACAUCAAAUUGCUCCCUAUAAAGUAUCAGUUUCUGGAAAAACCAGCCACAGUUGAAUAGUUGGUACAUCACAUGGGAGAGUGUCAGUCGUCCGAGCCGUUCACUCCUGCCAGGAUCCUUAGCCUGGCCUCACAUGGAAUUGAGUCGACCAACCCCUGGCGGUUUCAGGUGGCCCCAUUGAAGAUGCAAUCAUUUCUCGGCCAGUGUACCCCUUGUCAGUGCCUGCGUGCCCCUUGUGUCAAGUCUAAGAAGGAAUUUGAAGAAGCUGAGCAGGAUCCGGAGCUUGACCGGCUUGAGAUCUAUGCCCUCUAAGCCAAAUUGAGAUCAUGCUGGUGUUAAGGCUGGGAAUCACAAUAUCGAUGGCCUCAGCAUGUUUUUAGCAGUUGAAUUAAAGAUACUCUGUCUUGUUGCACAAACUGACGCAGAUCAAUGUUCAGAGGUAAUAUGGUUCUGCCCGUAAUUUUCAUUGACUGUCGGCAUGUUCCGUUUUUAUUCAUUACUCUGUAUAUCACGGCGGUAUGACUAUAGUAAGGAUAUAUGGCUGAUGCAUUUUGAACUUCUCUGUUCCUUUGGACAGAACAGAGCUGAUAAAUUAUCUAUUCUUUUUGGCUUUGGUAGUAUGAACAGAAAGCAGGCAGUAAUAAACCGAUAUGUUGUAGGAGUACUAUUUUGUUAAUGAAACGGGGUCAUUAUUAUUACCCAUUUUAUCCAACAAUAGUGUGCCCUAAAAUUACAGAUCGGUUCAUUCCUCUCAUACCUUUUUUUGAGAGAGUCGGAUUUUGGUGAGCUUUGCCGUGGUUUUCUCCUCUGUUUCUUGGUACAUUUUGUUACUAUAGAACAAUUGGUGUGCUUCUUUUCUUUUAGCUGUACUUGUAGAAAUGCGGAAGCUGGUUAUUUCAUUAUAUUCGAUGCCUAAUUUAUUUUCUGUUACGAGGAGUCAAGUUCAGCAUUUUCUUUUAUCUUCUUCCUUCCGCAUAAUUUUUCACUUACCCACUGAGCAGUGUAGGUCUUGGACCUGAAAUUCUUGUACUAAUUUAGCAGAACCAUUAUUCGAGAAACACUCCAGAAAUGGUUUGUCUUGGGUUUGAAUCAUGUUUUCUCUGAACAAACAGGCGUGACACAUGCAUGGAAAGAUCCCCAAGAAAUGUUGCACGUUUGGGUAUAUAUAAUGUCUCUGAAUACUAUUUUAUGAACAAGAAUUUAGUAAGUAUUUCAAGAGCAAUUUGAAAAAUUUAUAUGUAAAAAGCAUAUAUUACUUUUCGAAAGCUUCAGGGGAGAAAUCUCACAUCUAAGUGUAAAAACACACUAUGAAUUUACAAAAUCCAGGAAAAUUCUUUUGGACCUGAGCUGUACAGAAGAGAAAAUGGCAAAUACUUUUGCCUUUUUAUUCUGCAGCUAUCAAAUGAAUACAUUUUCUAUUAAUAUUUUGUAGAUCCAGAGUGUCCUCCCACAUAUACUGCGAACUAUACGCCACGUUUCCAUAAGGUCCGGCAUUGGCUUGAAGUAUCCGAAGUCCCUGGAGAGCAUCUCGUCAGUUACACCGGAUUUGGGUGCAGCGAUCUACUCGGCGUCAACACAGUAGACUAUCUCAUUCUUCUUCUUAAAGAAGCAUGUCCAGUACUUGCGCAUGUGGAUCCACAAAAUUAUAAUAGAAAAUGUGCAAACUUAUCGGGGAAUUCGGUUUUGCCUGGUAGUUUGAUUUUUGU